rnacentral:rRNA from 1 species
AGUGAACGCUGGCGGUAGGCCUAACACAUGCAAGUCGAACGGCAGCACAGUAAGAGCUUGCUCUUACGGGUGGCGAGUGGCGGACGGGUGAGGAAUACAUCGGAAUCUACUUUUUCGUGGGGGAUAACGUAGGGAAACUUACGCUAAUACCGCAUACGACCUACGGGUGAAAGCAGGGGAUCUUCGGACCUUGCGCGAUUGAAUGAGCCGAUGUCGGAUUAGCUAGUUGGCGGGGUAAAGGCCCACCAAGGCGACGAUCCGUAGCUGGUCUGAGAGGAUGAUUAGCCACACUGGAACUGAGACACGGUCCAGACUCCUACGGGAGGCAGCAGUGCGGAAUAUUGGACAAUGGGCGCAAGCCUGAUCCAGCCAUACCGCGUGGGUGAAGAAGGCCUUCGGGUUGUAAAGCCCUUUUGUUGGGAAAGAAAAGCAGCAGGUUAAUACCCCGCUGUUCUGACGGUACCCAAAGAAUAAGCACCGGCUAACUUCGUG